GCCGUUAUUGUAGCCGAGAUGGUAAAGCGUUCGACUCACAACCGAAAGGACGCUGGUUCGAAUCCAGCUGUCGGCA